GGCUAACCUGCCCUCGGGACGGGGACACCCCCGGGAAACUGGGGCUAAUCCCCGAUAGGUGAAGAACUCUGGAAUGAGUCUCCGCCCAAAAGACGCUUACGCCAUGCUCGUAGGCGCCGCCCAAGGAUGGGGCCGCGUCCGAUCAGGUUGUUGGUGAGGUAACGGCUCACCAAGCCUUUUACCGGUGCGGGCCGUGGGAGCGGGAGCCCGGAGAUGGGCACUGAGACGAGGGCCCAGGCCCUACGGGGCGCAGCAGUCGCGAAAACUUUGCAAUACACGAAAGUGUGACAGGGCUAUCCCGAGUGCCAUCCGCUGAGGAAGGCUUUUACCCAGUGUAGAUAGCUGGGGGAAUAAGGAGAGGGCAAGACUGGUGUCAGCCGCCGCGGUAAUACCAGCCCUCCGAGUGGUGUGGAUGUUUAUUGGGCCUAAAGCAUCCGUAGCUGGCUGGGCAAGUCCCCUGUUAAAUCCACCGAUUCAAUCGUUGGAGUGCGGGGGAUACUGUUCGGCUAGGGGACGGGAGAGGCCGACGGUAUUUCCGGGGUAGGGGUGAAAUCCUAUAAUCCCGGGAAGACCACCAGUGGCGAAGGCUGUCGGCUAGAACGCGCCCGACGGUGAGGGAUGAAAGCUGGGGGAGCGAACCGGAUUAGAUACCCGGGUAGUCCCAGCUGUAAACGAUGCAGGCUAGGUGUUUGGGCGGCCACGUGCCGCUCUAGUGCCGCAGGGAAGUCGUUAAGCCUGCCGCCUGGGGAGUACGAUCGCAAGAUG
rnacentral:rRNA from 1 species